CCGCUCCUCUCAGCCUCCCAAAGUGCUGAGAUUACAGGCGUGAGCCACCAUGCCCAUCUGUUUAAAACAUUUCUGAGAACAGUACCUGAUCUACCAGGCAAUCUGGGUCACCAAAAUCCUAAUAUAGUUUUGGUAUUACCUAAGGUGCCAGACACUGGCUUUACCCACAGACAUUCUGAUUUAAUUGAUGUAGGACGUGGCCUGGGCAUUGAGUUUCUUUAAAGCUCCCAGGUAAUUAUAAUGUGCCUCCAAGUUUGGGAAGCACUGGUUUAGAAGCUUCCUGUUCCUUAAGGAUAUAGCCAACUCUGGAAAAACAGGCUGGCGCUGGGUGGUUAGGAGUCUUCUGGGACCACGUUUGGACUUUGGGAAUUUGGAGUUUAUUCUCUAGGCAAUGAAGUACAAUGAAAAGUCUUUAAAAGGGGAAGUGACAUCAAAGUUUCAGAAAGGUAAUUCUGGCUACAAUUUAGAAAAUUGGAAAGGCUGGACACAGGGUAAUUGUUAGGAGGAAGAGAUGACACCGAGGGCCUACAUGAGACUGGGAUGGUGGCACUCUGAUGCUAGGUAGCAGCGGAAACCCUGGCACACGGGUGGAAAAAGAGUAAGCAACUAAAAAUGUUCUGCUUCUGCUGGUUUUCAGCUUUGAAAUUUAAUUGUGGCCUCGUUAGUAAUCAUAUAAAGAAUUCCGUUAGUACUUUUUAGCUUGGCUGUAAAUGGGGACAGCCCCUUCAAGAACGCUCAAGCAUUUAUGGGUUUCAGAAUGAUACAAGAUAACUGAUCACCCUUAAAAAAUAAAAGAACUCAGUUAGCUUUUACAGCUACCCAGUUAAUUUUGGUAAUGUAGAUCAUUAAGCUUCCAGAUAGAGUUUUUCACAGGGAGUGAGGGGAGAAGAGAUGGUCUGGCUACUUAGGAUCCAAUUACCUGGAUAAUUGCCAGAUACCCACUAAACAUGGUGAUGUAAGCAUGGUUUCAGUCAAUGUAUCUUUUUUCUGUUUUUUUUUUUUCUGACCUAAUGCCUCUACUGAUAAAAAUAUUUUUACUAUUAUUGGUUCUGUGGAACUAGUAUGACUGUGAUAGUGAGAGGACUGCAUUCCAUUUGCCUUGUGCUCCAUCAGAGUCAGCUGUCGGUGUGUCCUCAUGCCAGACUCAUUGUAAUUAGGAAGGAGACAGAAGAGGCAAGAAGAGCCCAGCGGGAGGCUCCCAUUUUGGCUUGAAGGCAGUAGCACCACAAAUUAGAAAAACCAUUGCUUGCCUUCUACACGGACUCAACACAAUACUAUUGUGUCUACCAAUGGGAGGUUCUGAAUAUUUUUUUAAAACCUUUGAAAACAUAAAAACCAUUCUUAGCUCAAGGGACACAGGAAAACAGGCCACAGGCCAGAGGUUGCAGACGCGUGGUCUAAACAAUUAACAGAACAAUAAAUCAAGCCCGGAUAUGUCACAUUUGCUGACCUCCCUGUUGUAAAUACUCUCACAAUGACUUGAUUCGAGAAUGUCCACGUAAACACUGCUGCGAGGGGAGCUAGGGAGAGUUGAGCAGUGGUUUACCGUGGUGUGCUCUUUCCACCACGCGGAUAGCAUAGGCUGACAUGUAUGAUAAGCAACCUUGAGAGCAAAGGGAAUGCAUUGCACCAUGAAUAUGGAGAGUGAGCUUUAAAAUAGUAUGAAAGACAAAUGUUUAAAGGUAUACAUUUCUUUCAGAGAACUUUUUCUCUCUCUUUCUCUCUCUGACAGUGUGUGUGUAUCUCCUGUGUCUCUCUUUCCCUCUCUCACAUGCACACAUAAGUGCACACACACACUUCUCUUGGAAACUGAAGGAGGCAAGAAUAUGAUGCCAUUAACAAAUGCUCUUUGGUGGACAGCAAUAAUAACAACUGCUAACUUUCACUGAGGACUACUUAUGUGCCAGAUACCAUGUGAAGCGCUUUGCUUGUAUUAGAUCAUCGAAACCUCAGAAAAACUCUAUAAAGUGGGUGCUAAUAUUUUCUAGAUUUUUCAGAUACAAUACUGAGGAUCAGGGAGAUUGAAUAAGUUGUCCAGUGUCACCCCUGGUAGCUGAGAGAGCUGGUUUGGAUGCCUAGGGCUGUUUGUCUCCAAACCUGUGCCUUGCACCCUUAGCUCUGGUUCCUCCCCUCUCAUGUCAUGUAAUCAGCACAAAUUUCCUGAAGUAAGGCUGCAUGCAUAUAACAAGAAUAAAGGAAUAAAAAUAGAGGAUGCCGUGGAAUGGGAGAAAGUGGACUACUUACGGCAGCAGAGGAGACAGUAGGAAAGGAGAACUCUAGAUGCUGUAAAGCUUCCUGGGACUAUAAGUACACUUGGCUACAACAAAAUGGUUGAGCAGGAAAGAAGGGAAGACAGAAGGGCUGAUUUGGUGGAGGGCCAUGGGAGGAAUAAAAUUAGACAUCAUAGCUACAGAAUAGAAGCACUGAAAUUGCACCAAAUCCAUAGACUCUCAGGAGUGGAGGAGAUUUGAACGCCAUCUGCCUAAUACAUAAAUUUGCUCUGCAUCUUGACAAGGUGGUGGUUCAGCCUCCUUGAAUGCCCUUGGCCAUGAAGAACUCAUUAGCUCCUCUCAACAGAUGGUGAAUUAGAAAGUUCUUCCCUGUAUGGAACCCAUAUUUGCCUACCAGUAACUUCUGCUCAGUGGCCAGGAACUGACUUCUUGGGGCCAUACAUGAAAAGUCUUUCAUAGAAUAGUUUCCAGGGACAAGCAUGGUCCUAUCAGCACCAACGUUAGAACUAAAAUAAAAUACAAAAUAAAAUGGAUCCUGUCUAUGGAGAGGCUGUGACACAGAGAGGUUAAGCACGUAGACUCUGGACCUAGACUUCCUGGGAUCAAAUCUCUACUCCACCGAGUAUUUCCUGUAUGAUGCAGGGAAUAUUUCUGUAUGAUGCAGGGAACCUUGUAUAAGUUACUUACCUUCCUGUAGCUCUGUUUUCUCGAUUGUAAAAGGCUGUGAUGAUGAUGAAAUAAACCAGUGCAUAUACAAAUACUGAGAA